rnacentral:rRNA from 1 species
UACGCGGGGGGCAAGCGUUGUUCGGAAUUACUGGGCGUAAAGGGCUCGUAGGCGGCCAACUAAGUCAGACGUGAAAUCCCUCGGCUUAACCGGGGAACUGCGUCUGAUACUGGAUGGCUUGAGUUUGGGAGAGGGAUGCGGAAUUCCAGGUGUAGCGGUGAAAUGCGUAGAUAUCUGAGGAACACCGGUGGCGAAGGCGGCAUCCUGGACCAACACUGACGCUGAGGAGCGAAAGCCAGGGGAGCAAACGGG